UCUUCCCCUAGAGUCAUUGCAGGUGUGGCUGCUGUGUCACAUGUGCAUCAGUAGGUGGCCAAGAGGAGAGAGGCUAUAUCUAUGCUCAGCGUUCCAACCCAUGAACAUCUGAACGAUUAGUAACCUAACAGU